rnacentral:rRNA from 1 species
GAUCCUGGCUCGGGAUGAACGCUAGCUACAGGCUUAACACAUGCAAGUCGAGGGGCAGCAUGGUCUUAGCUUGCUAAGGCCGAUGGCGACCGGCGCACGGGUGAGUAACACGUAUCCAACCUGCCGUCUACUCUUGGACAGCCUUCUGAAAGGAAGAUUAAUACAAGAUGGCAUCAUGAGUUCACAUGUUCACAUGAUUAAAGGUAUUCCGGUAGACGAUGGGGAUGUCCG